rnacentral:rRNA from 1 species
GCUUACCACCACACUACCCUGAACAUGGAAGCUAAGCAGGGUCGGGCUUGGUCAGUACUUGGAUGGGAGACUGCCUGGGAAUACCCGCUGUUGUAAGCU